CACCUGCACUACUUUAAGAAUGGCCUAGAAAGUAUUUGAAGACAAGGCAUGAAGGAUGAAAAAGGCAGAAAGGUGACUGGGCCACAGCAGACUUGCUGAGCAGGCACAGGAAGCUAAAGGAAUGUCCACUGGCCAUCCACCCAGGAACAGAAUCUUUGUAAAACACAGUGGCC
rnacentral:lncRNA from 1 species